AAAUUAUAAUAUCGUUAAAAAAACUAACGUGCACACAUAGACAAUAUUCUUAUCUUUAGGUUUUUAUAACAGAUAUACCCUAAAUGUUAAAACUAACAGCACACGAUUGGUUUUCAUACAUAAAAAAGUAUAAACAUAACAACAUUAACCGAUUUUACAAUAUUUACCGUAAUACAUAUACGUAUACACAGCACCGCAUAUCGUUGAAUUUAAUUGAUAGGUCAAAGCUAAUUUUAUCAACUCACGGCAUUUAUACCAACACUGUAUUUAUUCCGAUUGGUCCAUGUUAUUAUUUUUCGUACAACUAAUCCGUAUUCUUAUUAUUGUUUUCACCUAAACUUCAUGAAACUUUCAUUUUAUUAUUCGCGUGCUAUUUUAUUUUAAUCGUAACCGAAACCCUUUACAUCAAAUCAAACUAUAAUAAAAACUAUCUUCUUCAAUCUUUCACCCGGUGUUAUCCCUGCAAACAAAUUAUUUACAAAUUACAAUUUGUAAUAAAACGAUCAGCAGAACAACGAUCGUAUUAAUAUAAUAAUAUAAUAUAUACCGACGAAUAACUCCUACCUAUAUCGGUAAUUUACAGCAGAGUUGUCAAAUAAACGUACGUCAGGAAUUGAGUAAAUAACUUGAGUAAAAACUAGAGAAAAAUAUUUAGUUUCUGGAUGAUACAUAUCAAAGUCAAAAUCGAUUUUGAGGACUAAAAAGAAUAACGUACUUUCUGACUUCUGUAUGCUCGAAACUCUUGUUUCGGUAGAGUCGGUAUAUUUUUAUUGUAAUAUUAUAUUAUAAAAGUAUCAUUCUAAAAUUCUACCAGCCUAUAACCGUGAAAAUAUUGAACAUACUCUCAAAUAACGUUUCUGAAAAUAGUUAUUUUGUCUUGUGUCUAUAUUACGAAUCGACCAGUACACGUGAAAAUCAAAUCAAUCAUUGGUGUGUAUAUAUAGAUACUCGUAUAUGUUCACAAACUUAAUUAUGACUAUAAAAUUCAAUAUAUUACCUAUAUAACAGGCGCGUAUCAUGGGAUUUUUUUCGGGGAGAGCUGAUACCUUUUUUGCCAUAAUAACACCAUUUCAAGGCAUCAAAACCCCUUUCCAUCGCUUUUUUGGGAAUUAGCAGUUAUAACUGCUAUUUCCAAAAUUGUAGGAAAGACUGUGGCCCAAUCAGUGCCUCCCCCGCCCUCGUAAAUACGCCCUCUGCUGUAUUAUUUUAAUUACACUAUAACAACGUGUUUGAGUUACAGUAUUUCGCGUAAACGUUCGAACUUGACUUUUUAAGAUUUCCUAACCGAUUCGAUUUUCCGUGCAUGUCAUAAUGUACAGGUAAUGAAAUAUCGCAUUCAUUAUAUUCGUCAAGAAUUCUAAGUAAGUCGAAUGAGACUUCCGUUUCAAUUGUUCGAAAAAUCUCUUAAACAAUAUAUUUACGAAUAUAUUUGUCUUCCGGUGCCGUAUCAAUGUAGGAUUAAAUUUACUCAUUGAACGGACAUUUUUGGCAAAAUAUUAACGUAUUUAUAUUGUAUUUAUAACAUCGUAAAGGUUGUGUUUCUUUUUUCUUCUAAAGCUGAUUUUACGAAGUCGUUAUAUAUCGAAAUGGAUCGUAGUACGAGGCAAUAUUAACUGAUUGUCUUCGAGAACAGCUCUGAAAAAAAAAUCUAAAACACUUCACAUUCUAUAAAACUAUUAUAAUAUAAACUAUAAUAAUAUAAUAUUGAAAACACAGCAUAAUAUAACAUUCUACAUCAUCAUUCAGUUUAACCAGAAAAAAAAUCUUAAAACAAUCAUUUUUAUUAACAAAAUCUCGUGAAUAUAUCAUCGUUUUCAUUGGGAAAAUAAGCAAAAUAAAGAAUGUAUAAUAUAUGAUUUGAAGUAAAUAUAUUACGUCUAUACAUUAUUAUGGCAUAAACGUGUUACGAUAACUAUAUACUUAUUUCUCUCUAUAUUCAAAUUAUGAGUAAACGAUUUGCUAAUAAUACAAUAAGUUAUAUUAUUAAGUGCUUAUUACAUUAUGAUGUGGAGUACUUACAUCAUCAUACAAGGACAUUUUACUGUUAUUAACAAAACAGUCUAUCUUAACCGUUUCGAAAUACUUUAACAAUUAUUAUAUUCACCGUUCAGUGAUUUUUACCCGAAAUAUGCUGAAAAAGAUAUUAACCGCUAUAUUCAUUAUUAAACUAAAAUUCCGAAACAGCGAACGAUUAAUAAGUAAAAUAAAGACUUGCAUCAAUAUUUAUUUCGAAGCCAUAUUAUAUAUAUAUAUAUAUAUAGGUUCCAUAAUAUUGUAGUUACGUUUUUGAAAUAUUAUACAUAUUUGAUUUUAUCAGAUAAUAGAUAACGAUUUUAUCCGUUUGCAAGUGCCAAAAAAUAUUUAAUCACAGUAUAAAAUACGAAUAAAGUAUUAUUAUUAUUAAGGUUUUUGUAGUUUCAAAACAUUGACAUUUAUAGAGAACACAUUUUCAUUAAAUACAUAGUAUACAGACGUUGAUAUAUUUCUUUAAAACGCGCAAGUUUUUAGACUUAUCUAUUACAGUGAACUUUAAUUACUAUUAUUAUUAUAUACCUACUUAAGUUUGAUGUAUAUGUUAGCUAUUUACUUUUUAAAUUAGAAGUGAAAAUAACUUUUUAAACAUUUAUCGUGUGCAAAUCAAUAAUAUAAUACUAUUAUACAUUUACUGCUAAAAAAAUUAAACAAAUAAAUAUCAUAACCAUUCGAGUGGAGUGCCUACUUCGGUAUUACCUAUUAUAGAUUUCUACAGCGAUAACACAUACCUAAGUAACUUGUCAACAAUAAUGAAACACAUUUUCAAAUCGAAUACAUGUUGAUAAUUCAAAAAUAGUAUUUUAAGUAACUACGACAAUGUGUGUAUUAACAGGAUUCUAUUUGUUGGGUUUUAAAUUAUUUUUAAGUAGAAAUAUUCUAUUAUGCUUACCUAUAUAUAAACUAACGUUAACUCGGUUAAAGCUUAAAAGUUAGUACAAUAAAACACAUUUUCACGGAAAUUAAUUUCACACAUUAUUAAAUUUAACAUUAACGAUAUUCGAUUAUACUUAGCAUUUCUUUAAACGAUUUGUUUUUUUAGGAACAUUCGCAUAAUUAUAAUAUUAUAAAUAUAAGUGUAGCGUGAAUUUAUGUUAUUAUAUAUUUGUUUCAAAAAAUAUUAGAAAUAAUACUAUACAAUUGGUAAUCAGUUGAAAAUAUUAUAUAACUAGUCGAUAAAGGUAAUAGAUUAUUUAAUCUUUAGCACGAAAAGUAAAAAAAU